rnacentral:rRNA from 1 species
GUCCACGCCGUAAACGUUGGGCGCUAGGUGUGGGGCUCUUUCCACGAGUUCCGUGCCGCAGCUAACGCAUUAAGCGCCCCGUCUGGGGAGUACGGCCGCAAGGCUAAAACUCAAAGGAAUUGACGGGGGCCCGCACAAGCGGCGGAGCAUGCGUAUUAAUUCGAUGCAACGCGAAGAACCUUACCAAGGCUUGACAUGGGGCGAAAACUGGCAGAGAUGUCAGGUCCGUAAGGGCGCCUCACAGGUGGUGCAUGGUUGUCGU